ensembl:lncRNA
UUUUGUUAUCCAUAAUGGUUCAUCUACUUUCAUUAGUGUGAGUCAUUACGACCAAAAUGCUUCGACUUGCAUAAUCACAGUGAUGGAUGGCAGAGGGGGGGCUUUCUGAACAAAGAGGCCAAACCACAGCAGAAUCCGAGCACUGAUAAAUCUCGGAGAAAAAGCAGAUGUGUAUUGUAGCGUCUCCCUUUGUGGAGUGAGGAGCCAGAGCCAGCUUUUCCUCAUCAGGGCCGACCAUUAAAAGCAUAUUAAAGAUGUUUCUUUACGAUGUUUGCUUCAGUGCUGUUGCUCUCUUCUUUUUAGGGAAAUAUUACAUUUGUAACGAAAUGUAAAAAAAAUGAAAAUGGUGUUAUUUUUAAAAUCUCUAUUAUUGACGUAUGGUGGUUUUGUAUGAAGUUCAUAAGGCGUGAUGGUAUUCUGCGAACCAAUGGUUAAGAUCACAAUGAUUGGGUCCAACACUUACACGUGGUGAUUGUGGCUCUGGAGAGAACGGUCGUCCUUCAAUCAGCAUCGGCGGUUGGAUCCCCGGCUUUGCCAGUGUCAAGGUGUCCUUCCUCAAGACACUUAACAUCAAAGGUGUCCUCUAGCUGUGACUACGCUCUGUGUAUGGUGUGAAUGUUAGUUACUGAUGGGCAGUUGUCACCGUGUGACUCCAGCCAUCAGAGUACGAAUGGAUGUGAAUCAUUUAGUGAAAAAAGCUUAUUGUAAGAGCAUUUUUACCAUUUACUUAUAGUCUAUGUUCAUACCUGUCUAUGGUUGUAAUUCCAUGGUUUAUUUAACAUUUAACUAGCGCUAGACACUUUUAUUUGAACUGUACAAACAUGGAAGUUUGCAAUCAGCCAUCAGUUAAACGGUCUAUUUAGCGUCUGUCGCAACAAGCCCAUCUCUUGGCUUGCUAGAAAAAUAUAUCGCUGUCUUAUUUCAAAGUUUGUGGGUUGGUAGGAUGCUUAUGCGCACAAUACUGACAGUAAGUUUCUUCUGAUAUGUCCCAUUUAAACAAGCCUUCCUGUAGGAGCCAAAUUUGUAGUGUGUUGCUUGUUGCAUUUUCAUGUUUGAUUAACCAGACUGUUGUGGGGAUUACUGUCAUUCGUUUGCGUAUUGUAGGAUAUUAGAAAUAGACUGACCACCCGGUUCAUAAAAUUAAUCAAAUGCAUAUAGUGUACACCAGAAUACAGCCAUGAUUCUGAAACUGUAAUCAAUAAAGUAAUGACAAUAUUGUAAAACCACUGUAAUUUUGCAACUGUAAUAGAACAAUACCAAUGUACAAUUAUGAUUGUAUUUGAUUAAGGUAAGUUCAUUUAGUUUUUUAAAACAUUGACUUCCCUGUGAAAUUUGGAGUAUUCCAGCAUUUCACUUCUCUAAUAAAUGUAUCUCGUAUUUUAUAGUUUGCUCAGCAUCACCAAGGCUCUGGAGGAAACCUCUGUAAGAUAGUCAGUAAUAGUCUUUAUGCUCAAUGCUUUUUCACUAUCAUUUGUUUAGUUUAUGUGUGCUAAUUAUCCUGUUCUCCUUCAUAGAAUUCUGCAUGCGGAGGUGUAAGGAAUGCGGUUUGGAUCUGGAUUUUGAGGUUGAUAUUCAUUUACAUUGUCAACAAUGGAAAUACACAAUGCACUUCAUUGUUGGAUGUUACGUUCCCCAGUUUUCUGUGUUUGGUGGCUUUGUUUUGUGCCUUGACAGGUGAUUGAUUCCAGGAGCAGCAGUCCCCAGACUGGAGAUCUGGCCCCACCCACUCGUCAGUGGCUGCACCUGGAUUCCUUCCCUCGCAACACAUAAAGGAAAAGGGGAAGCACCUUGGGAGUGCGUAGGCAAGCUGCCCAUGGGUAUACACCACCCGUAGUCAUCCUCCUGUCUAGAAAC